rnacentral:tRNA from 1 species
AAGAUUACACGUUUGAAGAAAAAGCUUCUAACUUUCCUCUUAAGCGGUUAAACUCCGUUUAAAUCUUG